rnacentral:rRNA from 1 species
UACGAAGGGGGCUAGCGUUGCUCGGAAUCACUGGGCGUAAAGCGCACGUAGGCGGAUUGCUAAGUCAGGGGUGAAAUCCCGGGGCUCAACCUCGGAACUGCCUUUGAUACUGUUGGUCUUGAGUCCGGAAGAGGUGAGUGGAAUUCCUAGUGUAGAGGUGAAAUUCGUAGAUAUUAGGAAGAACACCGGUGGCGAAGGCGGCUCACUGGUCCGGUACUGACACUGAGGUGCGAAAGCGUGGGGAGCAAACAGG